GUGGGGAAUAUUGGACAAUGGGCGAAAGCCUGAUCCAGCCAUGCCGCGUGUGUGAAGAAGGCCUUUUGGUUGUAAAGCACUUUAAGCGGGGAGGAGGGCACCACGGUUAAUACCCGUGAAUGUCGGACGUUACCCGCAGAAUAAGCACCGGCUAACUCUGUGCCAGCAGCCGCGGUAAUACAGAGGGUGCGAGCGUUAAUCGGAAUUACUGGGCGUAAAGCGCGCGUAGGCGGCUUGUUAAGUCAAAUGUGAAAUCCCCGAGCUUAACUUGGGCAUUGCAUUCGAUACUGGCAAGCUAGAGUAUGGGAGAGGAAGGUAGAAUUCCAGGUGUAGCGGUGAAAUGCGUAGAGAUCUGGAGGAAUACCGAUGGCGAAGGCAGCCUUCUGGCCUAAUACUGACGCUGAGGUGCGAAAGCAUGGGGAGCAAACAGGAUUAGAUACCCGGGUAGUCC
rnacentral:rRNA from 1 species